UACGUAGGUGGCAAGCGUUAUCCGGAAUUACUGGGCGUAAAGCGCACGCAGGCGGCUCCUUAAGUUUGACGUGAAAGCUCCCGGCUUAACUGGGAGAGGUCGUUGAAGACUGGGGGGCUUGAGGCAAUGAGAGGGGUGUAGAAUUCCCGGUGUAGUGGUGGAAUGCGUAGAUAUCGGGGGGAAUACCAGUGGCGAAAGCGGCGCCCUAGCAUUAGCCUGACGCUCAUGUGCGAAAGCGUGGGGAGCGAACGGG
rnacentral:rRNA from 1 species